rnacentral:tRNA from 1 species
GUAAAUAUAAUUUAAUCGGCAGAAUAUAUGUUUUUAGGUGCAUAAGAUCUGAGUUCAAAUCUCAGUGUUUACA